rnacentral:rRNA from 1 species
GCAUAUCAAUAAGCGGAGGAAAAGAAACCAACAGGGAUUGCCUCAGUAACGGCGAGUGAAGCGGCAAGAGCUCAAAUUUGAAAGCUGGCCCCCUCGGGGUCCGCAUUGUAAUUUGCAGAGGAUGCUUCGGGAGUGGCCCCCAUCUAAGUGCUCUGGAACGGGCCGUCAUAGAGGGUGAGAAUCCCGUAUGGGAUGGGGUGUCCGCGACCAUGUGAAGCUCCUUCGACGAGUCGAGUUGUUUGGGAAUGCAGCUCUAAAUGGGUGGUAAAUUUCAUCUAAAGCUAAAUAUUGGCCGGAGACCGAUAGCGCACAAGUAGAGUGAUCGAAAGAUGAAAAGCACUUUGAAAAGAGAGUUAAAAAGCACGUGAAAUUGUUGAAAGGGAAGCGCUUGCGACCAGACUCGCCUACGGGGUUCAGCCGGUAUUCGUACCGGUGUACUUCCCCGUGGGCGGGCCAGCGUCGGUUUGGGCGGCCGGUCAAAGGCCCUCGGAAUGUAACGCCUCUCGGGGCGUCUUAUAGCCGAGGGUGCCAUGCGGCCAGCCCGGACCGAGGAACGCGCUUCGGCACGGACGCUGGCAUAAUGGUCGUAAGCGACCCGUCUUGAAACACGGACCAAGGAGUCUAACAUCUACGCGAGUGUUCGGGUGUCAAACCCGUGCGCGCAGUGAAAGCGAACGGAGGUGGGAACCCUCACGGGUGCACCAUCGACCGAUCCUGAUGUCUUCGGAUGGAUUUGAGUAAGAGCGUAGCUGUUGGGACCCGAAAGAUGGUGAACUAUGCCUGAAUAGGGCGAAGCCAGAGGAAACUCUGGUGGAGGCUCGCAGCGGUUCUGACGUGCAAAUCGAUCGUCAAAUUUGGGUAUAGGGGCGAAAGACUAAUCGAACCAUCUAGUAGCUGGUUCCUGCCG